AAUUUUCUGCAAUGGGCGAAAGCCUGACAGAGCAAUACCGCGUGAGGGAAGACAGCCCACACGGUCGUAAACCUAUUUUGUUAAAGAAGAAGAUAUGUCAUUAGUUAACGAAUAAGCAUCGGCUAACUCCGUCCCAGCAGCCGCGGUAAGACGGAGGAUGCAAGUGUUAUCUGGUAUCAAUGGGCGUAAAGCGUCCGUAGGUGGUUUAUUAAGUAUAUUGUUAAAGAAAGCAGCUCAACUUCAAAAAGGUAAUGGAAAAUAUUAAACUUGAGGGUAGUAGAGGGAAAGGGAAUUUCCAGUGGAGCGGGGAAAUGAGUAGAGAUUAAAAAGACCACCACAAGGGAAGGCAGUGUACUGGGCUAUUUUUGACACUACGAGGGGAAAGAUGGGGGAGCCCCUUUUGGAGAUACCCCAGGGUUUCCCCCG
rnacentral:rRNA from 1 species